UCUUGUCUAUGUGUAGUUGCCUGUCAGCAAUAUAGUGUAUAGAGUCACGGUUCGUUUGUUAUUUUGUUCGGUGUUCAUUCUUUUAAAGAGAAUGUACGCAUACCACACUGCGCCUUGGUCUCCUUCAUACGACAAGCAUGACGUGACAAGCAUAUUCCAGAUAGCCACAGUGCUGCUGUAGAGACGGAGAGGAGAGAGAAGUGGAGGGGAGGACGGUGACGGGAAGGAGGGGUGGACGACUUCCUGGUUUUGACCCUUUCCUGUCCUGACGCCGAACCCGCCUGCC